rnacentral:rRNA from 1 species
GACGAACGCUGGCGGCGUGCCUAAUACAUGCAAGUCGAGCGGACCAAUAGAAGCUUGCUUCUGUUGGUUAGCGGCGGACGGGUGAGUAACACGUGGGCAACCUGCCUGUAAGACUGGGAUAACUUCGGGAAACCGGAGCUAAUACCGGAUAAUUCAUCCCCUCGCAUGAGGGGGUGUUGAAAGUCGGUUCACGCUGACACUUACCGAUGGGCCCGCGGCGCAUUAGCUAGUUGGUGAGGUAAUGGCUCACCAAGGCGACGAUGCGUAGCCGACCUGAGAGGGUGAUCGGCCACACUGGGACUGAGACACGGCCCAGACUCCUACGGGAGGCAGCAGUAGGGAAUCUUCCACAAUGGACGAAAGUCUGAUGGAGCAACGCCGCGUGAGCGAUGAAGGCCUUCGGGUCGUAAAGCUCUGUUGUUAGGGAAGAACAAGUAUCGGAGUAACUGCCGGUACCUUGACGGUACCUAACCAGAAAGCCACGGCUAACUACGUGCCAGCAGCCGCGGUAA